rnacentral:lncRNA from 1 species
CCUACCUUGUGACUGUUCAUGUAUAAGUAAUUGUUUCCUGUUAACACAACAGGUGAGGCCCAUUAGGUUCUCAGCAGGGGAGUGUUCAGCUGUUUCUUCAGCUAAGAACAUUUUAGUAAAUGAUGCUCUUUUAAAGCUCCUUUAUCUUGGGGUGAACACAAUGCUGUUCUGUAAAUAAUUUAUUAAGUAUUCGUUAAAAAAGUGCUUGUAGGCUUUUUUUCUUUGAUGUGUAACUGUUUUCAGAUGAUGACUCUGAUUCUCCCUUUUGGCUCGAGAUCACACGCAGCCUCCCUCAAGUAUUUAUCUUAGCUUCUUGAAGUUCUCCACCUGUGACUGUGCACACGGAGCAGACACUUCAUUACAAUGUUUUCACUACAGGAUUUAUGGCUGCACUUACUGGAACUUCUGAAAAAGAGCGAAGGCAAACAGAGCGAGACACUGUGUGUAUCAUCAGAGGCUGUGCUUUGCAACGUUUUGGAUGUCACUCAUCAUCCUGCACAAGCUGAGGCAUGUUAGGCAGCACGGUCUUAUGAGGAGCUGCGAAACAGGAAUGCCAAUUGUCUAGAAGGCUACGAGGGAAAAUGGACAAACCCUGCAAAAGACUCAUUAGCGAAAAAUCACCAAAAAAAAUCCUCAUAUAGGACAUAUUUCAGCUCUGCUGGGGGUUAAAUCCUAAAUAGUUGCCAUUGACUAUUGUGCCUUAUUAUGAGCUCAGUAACUAAUACACUUUCAGUAGGUGGAAUGCACGCUCCCCUUACAUCCACACAUCCCACAUACCUCCCUGCAUGUGUGCCCAGGGCUACUGAUGAUGUACAGAUGCCAGACCUGAGGCCAAGACCUCCCAUUCCUGAGGGCUACAGUAGUGAGUCGGAAAGAAAGACAAACACAGCAGUGGUGAGAGAUGAGAGGCAAGUCUGAUCAAGGUCAAGGUAUACGCAGACAUGGUUUAUCAUUACAGUCUCUUGUUAGCUUUGAAGUAGGAACAUGAAACCAUUGAUCUAUUCAAUACUUUACAGAGCAGGUCUUUACAGUACAGAGACGUCAGAGUUCACCCUUUUCUCCACAUUUUACAUUUAUAUUUCCCUCCUUAGAUGGUUAAUUCGACUUGCUUUGGCUUUAAAUAAUUGAAACCUUUGACAUACACGUGCUUGUUAGAUGGAGUUAAUGUUUAUCUAAUGUCUUACGCGAGCCAACAAAUUUAGUAAACAAACUAAUUUCCUGGGAAACUGCCAGUCCUGUUCCCUAGCAAACAAUAACACAUGUUUAUAUGAAGGGCCCUGAUUGAGGAAAUGUAGGCAGUUUAAAAAUGUUUCCCAUCAAAAGGAAAGCAAAAAUGAUUGCUUUUAUAACUUAAUUUAUAUGCUAUCUUGUGUUUGACUUUCU